UAAAAAUCAGUAGAUAAAAGACUUUGCACACACUUUGGUCGGGGUUUAAGCAAAUGGGGGAGUUUAUUACAUCGCAGUUAUUGAGGUACGGCGAGUCGUGCUGGCUGGAGAGGGCCAGAGCUCAGCCACACAUGUUCAGGACCCAGGAGAAGCGUCAUGGCGGCUUCCUGGGGAGGAGAGUGAGCAGGAAGAGCUAGCUGGAACCGAGAGCGCAUUUCCGGAAUACGUGCACUAAAAUAGCUUCCCUUGCAUCCACGACCCCUGUGACUUGGCUUAUGCAAACCUGUAGAAUGGCUAGUAGGCUCAUGCCAGCCGAAUGCCAAUUACACUCAAGUCCCCAUACCUUAAUAUCUUUACAACAACCUUGUGAGAGACCAUGGGCCAGAAUCAUGCAAUGAAUUGGCUCUUUAGUUAUCGAUACACAAACACUGCGAGACAGCACGUGUUCAUUAUUGUUUACAGUUACUGUGCUUUGGGUAAUAUUUUAUGCAGCAGCAGAUAAUACUUGAAUUCAAAGUAGAAAAGGUUACUCUUCCACUGUGGUGACCGCUGUGGCUGGCGUGUCGCAUACGUGCCCUUCCCAGGAACCCCCUGACACCUUCUCGCUUCUGACACCAUUAUCUCUGGACAUCGCCUAGCUCUGUCUCUCUUUAUAGAUGGUACUGAGUGUCUUAUCUAUCUCUUCCUAUUAAGGGACAGCCUGUGGCUGGUGACCUGAGGAUGUGAGGAUAGACUGGCCUGCCCACUGGCUUCCUGUCUUCCGAGUACAGUCCACAACAUACUUUCUUCAUGAGACUCUAUCUCAGAGGCUAGUUUGCAGGGCACCCAGCCUAAAGCGGUUGGUAUCUGCAAUGUCCUAUAGUUAUAAACAAAAUAAAACUUCACGUGGUUUUGUCUGGGGUUUUAAAAAACAGGAGAUUUAUUACUUAGUGGGUUAUUUAGGUUCAGCAAAGCAGGCAAAGUGGCCAAAACCAGCUAGUCAUGACGGUGGGGAGCCGUGGGUCUUUAAGCCAGGUACCAGCAUUCGAUACUUAACCAGUGUUCAGGUCUCCGGGAGAGCAGCGUGGUGGGUUCUGAGGAGAAGGAGAGCAGACAGAGGCAGCAGGAAGAGAGCUCCAGAACAUAGCACGGUUUUGGUUUUGCUAGGCACUCAGUUAACUUCCUCCACACACACGAUCCCUUGUGGGUUUGCAUAAGUCCUGCUGUAUGCUCAUCAGGCUGACAUCAGCCACGUGCUAACUACAUUCAUGCCCCAACAGUGCCCUCUGGAAGCAAAACACAAAGGACCUGGAUGGUCUUGUAGGGUCUGAAAGUGAACUGGGCGGACGUCUAGGGAGGAUGUGUGUGCAUGGACUUACAUGGUUGGACAGCACCUGAUGGCUUGUAGUAUAGACAUGCCAAGUAGACCGGAUAUCAGGUGUGAGUCAGCCUCUGUCCUCUUCAACUCAGCCCAGUGUAAGGACAAGGGACUCGUGAGCCCAGUGUGCGAUGGUGAGGAUGGAGGCUUACGCACAGAGCUAACUCAGCUCCCAGAUGCUCCUUCAGCUAGUGGCGCUGCUUAGUGUCCAUCCAAACUGUUCGCAAGAAGCUGAACGCUGGCUCAUCAGUAUGACACCAUGACUUAGGGAGAAUUACUAGUCACUGGGGAGCAAAUCAGGUCUCUUUAAUCUUUGCAAUCUCAGAAGGCAGAGUAGCUUUAUGUUGGUACACAGAUGUGGCUACCAACAGUUGGUGAACAUGAGUAGCAUAUGGCUGACUUCAGCCCAAGAGCAUAGCAUGAACUUACGCAAGCCUACAAGGGAUUGUAGGAGUGUCGUAACUGAUUUAGCUCUUGGAAGUCAGGCUCUCGCUCUCUCUUUCCCUGCCCCUCACUUCCUGCACAGCUCCAUGCAGUUUUGCUCCCAGGACCCGCCGUGACUGCCCCUCCCGAGACUGCACACGUGUGGCUCAGCUCUGGUGAAACUAGCUUAAAAGACUCAUGCCUCCCCAGCCAUGAGGACUAGUCGAUAUUCGCCUCUUUACCGAACCUGAUAAACGCCACAUUUAUCUUGAUGAGAAUUGACACACAUUCCAAGGAUGGGUUUGCUUGUAGACACGUUGGCUGAAGCACUGUGCUGCUCCCAUGCGUGGGUUUAGUGAGAGCCUGAGAAAGACAUAGGAAGAACGAGGACUUAGGGCAUUCCCAGAAACUAGCCACGAGACCAGCGGAUAGUUUUGAGGAUGCCGGAUAAGUCAAUGGACUAGUGAUGAAGGAGCAAGAUGGUGAACUGACGAAUUGAGAUUGACUACAGCAGUGGUGGCCGUCUUACUAGAACUUCUCCGAUUUCACUAGAAACAGACAGCAAACGCUAGAAGAAGAAGACUAGAAACAGACCAACCAGAGCCAUGGCAGAGCUGUUUCUGGGUGGAGUGGCGUCACUGUCAGGUAGAGAGAUGUGAGUGGCCUGUCAUGAUUUAGUGGGAGCUCUGAUCUUCUUGCAGAUUCUCCCCUCCAGGAAAAGUGUGCUCCUGCCUCAGCUUCCAGAACUAGCAGCUUACAGGCCACAAUGCCAUGACUCCCAGGAAUUGUUCUUGGUUGCAGGGAACCACUUCACCUAAGUUUGUGCUUGCAGACAGAUGCAAUGACUGGCUAAUGGGAGUGUGCCAAGUCCUACACAUUUGUCUCAAUCAGUUAACAGUCAUGUGAAGCAUGUAAGCCCCAGAGCUUGGCACAGGAAUGUGUGAGGAGUUUGUGGCAAUUGUGUAGUGGACGACAUGUGUGACUCCUCAGACCACUAGAGGUGUGGACGACUUCUGUGACUCCUCAGACCACUAGAGGUGUGUCUCCUGAGACACGCCCCCAAUAAACCUUUGGUACCAACAGUCUCAGAGACUCUUUCCAGGAAAACACCCCUAAGAAAAGCUUCCAUAGAGAAGUCUCAAUCUAUAGUCUGCACAGCAAAAACACAAAUAAAAUGAAAAAAAAAAAACAGAGAAAAGUUAUGUUCUUUACUCUUAAUAAACAGAAAAACUGAAAACAAUAAGAUUUUUUAAAGACUUAUUUUUUAUUAGUGAUUUAAUGAUCAACAAGAUUGUAAGAUCACAGUGGGACCACCAGAGCUCCGUGUCCCAUCCCCUCCACUGGAAGCUUCCCUGUUCUUUAUCCCUCUGGGAGUCUGGACCCAAAUUCUUUAUGGGGAGCAGAAGGUGGGAGUCUGGCUUCUGUCAUUGCUUCUCUGCUGGACAUGGGUGUUGGCAGGUGGAUCCACACCCCAGCCUGUGUCUGUCUGUCCCUAGUGGGGCAGGGCUCGGGGGAGGGGAGGCUCCAGGACACAUGGUGAGGGCGUCUGCCCAGGAAGGUCAGGAAGGCGUC